CCAAAACAAUACAUGGUUGCACAUCAUAUGUGUCAUAUGUCAGGUAUAUAUAGAUUACAGUGUCACUCAUCUGUGUUAAAAAGUUAUAAAUUAUUCAGAUCAGAUUGACUUCCAUUUGCUAGAUUAUCGUUUCUUCUCGCCUGUGAGACUUGCAGUGUGAGUCAUUACAGUACUAAAAAAAAAAAAAAAAAUUAACCACAGAAUAGGACUAUUUAUAUUACAGCUAAGGUUCAGCUCAGUGUGUUCAUGUCUCAGAUGCUUUGCAUCUCUUAGCCUCGGUGCAUGGUGUGUUCAAUAGCCUAUACGUCCUGUUUGUGGAGAAAAGUGGCGAGACGCAAUGCUCUUUGAUCUUAUAGGUCUGGGUCAGAAGUGUCAGAUUCCAGUCACGGAGGGUGAGGGUACUGCGGAGUUAUGUUCUUGAUUUACCGCAAAGUAAUUUUAUACCACGAUAUAGCCUAACACGUAAAAGUCUGUAUAACGGACUAGUAUAGACAUAGAACAUGUUUUUGUGGCGGUCUGUACAUGAUAAUUAAGCAGAAUUUUUUUUUUUGUAUUACGGUAAAAAACCCCCGCAAAUAGCAGUGACAGUAUUCACUUGACGUCGGCUAGCUGACUAAGCCUAUGUUGACGCUAGCAAGCAACAAACAAAAAGCGACCAGUCCUGUGCCACAUGUUUCCUGAUUUCCCCGCUCAGAACUUUAUUCCUUGUUUCAAUUUUGAUGUAUGGAAAACGUUUCAGAAAAACUUACUACCGUGGUUUCUUCUUAUCCUGUCAUAUACCUGUCAACCUAUCGUUAAACGUGUAUAGAGACAUUACAAAGAAAAAUAAAGCUUGGAAGGACGAAGGAAAGAUCGUUGGGGCUUCUGGCGAGUGUGUGUAGCUAGUACAGCUUAUCUGCGAUAUACGAAGUCUAGCAUGUAACAUGUAAAUCAAACUUAAAUACAUUUUAAACAAAUGUUUUUUAAUCAAGCUAUAGAUUUUGGUGUCUAUGUUUCCUCAGUGGAACAGCAACAACAACAACAACAAACACAACCAAACAUAAGCAACACCAGUAGUGGUUGCUACAUGCCCACAAGAGACAAACUACAUGCGACAUGAGCGACUUGUUGCUUGCUAGUGUAAACAUAGGGUUAAUAGAACCGUGUAUUGGGGAUCAAAUUUACACCAUUUUCAAUUUACCUCAAAUGUAGUCUUUUACAUACACAUGCCCAUUUUUGAGGAAAGUGAUGCAAACUUACCAGUAUAGUUUAGGACAGAGUGUUUUUUAGUAGUAUAAACAUGAGCAAGACUUCACCGUGUACUGUAGCUCAAUGCCGCAAUUGUAUUUUAUGGCAGUCAUCUUGGACAACCAAAUCAAAUCACUUUUUUACUUAGUGUAGUUUAGUAUUAUCGGACCUACUAAACUCAACCUUCAAACAUUUAAAGGUGGAACUGCAUUGUAAAGCUGGAAGUGAUACAGAUGAUAAUAUAGUUGCAGUUAAAUAUAUAAGUACAGAUAUGGGUGUGUAUUAGUGGACAAGAUUUUGAGAGAUAUAAGACUUCCAGGGGCAGCAGAAGGUAGCGUUGUUGCCUCACAGCUUCAGUGUCCCUGGUUUGAUGCUUAGCUUAAGUUACUGACCAAAUAUUUAACAUGUUCUUCCUUCCCUUGUUCAUGUGGUUUUCCUCUGGGUUCUCCGGUUUUCUCCAACUCCCAGAAAACAAGGUGGAUUGCUCCUGAGUGUGCGAAUGUGUGAUGAUCUGGCGUCCCAUCCAGAUUCCCAUUCCCAGGAUAGACUCUGGAUCCUUAUCAUGAUAACCUUAUCAGGAUAAAGAGCUUUCUGAUGAUGAAUGAAUGAAUAAGACUUCCAUUACAAGCUGUUUGUAGAUAAAGUGCAAAAGUAAAGAAAGAAACUUAAGAAACAUUCAUUUCUUCCAACAAUUUAAGAACACAAGAUAAGUGCAUCAGCUGCAGAUGUCCACUCUACAUCUGCAAAAAUGGAUUACAGCUAUAAUGCGAUGCUCGUUGGCAUGGGGACGCUGGUCAAUCACUGCGGUUUAGAUGAAGAUUUAGGCCAGAAGAUUGCUGUCAUCCCUUGUCGUUUUCUUUCAGCUGAACCUUGCAGGAACUCCACUUUGUCACUGUUUACCCUCCAUAAAUUAAGUCAGCAACUUUAAACAAAAGCGAUUGCAGAGGCGGUGCCAUGUGGAUUGUAAAUACCUGAAAAAACCCCAAAACAAAACAGGAAGUCGGAAAAUGGCAGUAAAGUUUGCAUUUAAUGAAUGAAACCUGAGUCUUAUAUAUCACAGUCCUAGCCUUAAGAUAUAUUAGAUGUGUAAUUUUAUAUAUAUAUAUAUAGAUAGAUAUAGAUAGAUAGAUAGAUAGAUAGAUAACAUGUCUUACCUCAGCUGGGUAUGCUUACUUACAUGGGACAUGGGAUCCUAAUGCAGUCAGAUAAAUUACCAGUUCACAUUUUCAUUCUGUUCCACCUCCUAACACGCCUUGAUAACCUGACCCAGGUGUGUUUGCUAGGACAGAAUAAAAAUGUGGACCGGACAACAUUAAACAUCUUUUCUAUGCCAAUAAUAUUAAGCAGUGUCUCAUUCCUUAACUCUUCAACUCACUAAUAGGAAAUUUAUUUAAAUGUUAAUGUAUUUGGCUGGCAUGGUUUGGGUCCGCUUGUCCUCUUAAAGGGAAGUGCCACUGUAAAUCAACACCUUUAUCCUAUGGUGAACCAUUUCUCUCUUGAUGGGUGUGGUCUCCUGUAGGAUGACUCUGCCCAUACCUGCAAGGACAUGAGGGGUCAGCGAAUUUUAUUUGAUCAGAUUGAAAAUUAUGUAAAUCAUACGCUGUAUAUAGCCUUCCCACUUACCAAAUCUCAACCCAGCUGAAUACAUGUGGAAGAUUGUGGACUGAUCUGUAAUCCAGUGCUCUCCAUGACCAUCAUCAAAACAUCAACCAUUUUGGAAGGACAGUGGCUUGUUGUGUCUGAACACCUUGUUAAGACAUCAGCCAUCUGUAUAUUAACAAUAUAUUCAAAGGACAUUGUUCAAUUUAACCAUAUGCCAAGCUCACAGACAGAAAGGAAAUUUCAGAGGCAUGACACCAUGACACAGAAUUUGGCUCAGCUCAAUUCAAAUCAAUUUUUUGUUUCCUUCAGCGCUCUUUACAGUGAACUGUAUCACAUCACAGCUACAAAAGUCCAGGUUCAGACAGGAAGGACUCCUCAAAAAUGCAUGAAGGAGAAACACUUUUGCAAAAGAAACAUAAAAAAAAGAAGAUCUUCCUAUAAGCAGCAAUGAAAUAGUGAAGUAAAAGGCAAAAGAAUUCUUAAUGAUGUUGUAGAAGCCAGAGUAUGCUGCUUCUUACAAAAAGUCUUGGUAGAACAUAUAAUUCCAGCUCCAAGGAACCCUCCAGCUCUGUCACUUUCUGAUGGAUACGCCCACUUUGGAAUGCUGCUGAUGGUGCUGGAACGGCCUCUAUUAACACUUAAGUCAGCCCUGUGUUCCCAGAAUUCCCCACACCAUUUGGUUUAGAGCCACGGGCUCCAACUGGGCCUUAAUAAGCAUCAUAUGUGGAAUCAGUGUGGAGUCCCAACCCAAGACCUCUGCCUUGGCAGAAGAACCCAGCAAAGCAAGUAGGGCUUACGGGGCAAAGGUUUGAUUUGAUCAUCCGGUACUUCUGGGUUCACUUUGCACCCAGCCAUUUCUAUUUUUUUUUCUGGGGUCUACUGUUGCCACGUAUGUAUGUCGUCUUGUUCAAAUUUCUAGCUAAAGGAGAUUGUGGUUUCCUUAACUGUCCUCAAUAGUCAGUAUUAUAGUGUUGACAUUCUGUUUAUUAGUUAUUAGAUACUGAGAGCUUUACUAAGGAGGCAAUUAAGCAGAGUAUGCUCUUAAUCAAAUGAAGUUCAUAAUAAAGGCUAUGACUGCUAAGUUCCUCCACUCACCCUUACUUUAAUCUCACAUGCCAGACUUUUAGCUAGAGAGUAUGGUAAACUCUGUCAAUAAAUGUGGCCAAGAACCAUCUACUUUCACAGAAACAUGACAUGGCAGCUGACCAACCACAGAUCUCGUCCCAUAGCCUGUUGGCAAACACACUAGAUUAUCAUGUGUAAUCAUCACAAUGUGCUUCAAACUUCACAAUUCUUUUGAAGACGGGAACGGUUUUCAGUCCAGCCAUUAUAUCUUGCUUUGAAAAGCUUAUUGCAGUGCUGCAGUGUUUUCAUGCUGGAAACCAGCACAUGGAAGUAUGGAGAACCAAUCAGAAUGCAACUCUCAAGAUUCUGAAGCUUGUGGCCAGAAAAGUGUACAAAAAUGGGACGCUGAAAUGACUCAAAUUUUAAUCUCGAAUCUGCAACUUUUACACUAGUGUGAGUUAUUACAAAUUUGCAUUCAUGAGACUAUGCUUUCUCUCUCUCUCUCUCUCUCUCUCUCUCUCUCUCUCUCUCUCUCUCUCUCUCAAUUAUGAGGGUUCUUUGUAUGCAGAACUAGUUCUGAACUUAUCCGCAGUAUUCAUGCGCUCCGCUUCUCAAACAGAAGGAGCCACAGACAGUGUUUUCAUACAGGAAGCUAGUUUGAUUUGUUGGAUGUAGUGUGAUAAAACUUGAACUAGUUCAGAUUGGCUACGUCUUUUCACUGAAUACAGUUCCAUUCUCAGUUUUUUUUUUUUUUUUAAUCUGUUUUACUCCAUUUUCUUCCAAUUUGGUCAUUUGCCAAUUCCCACAUCAGCUGCCGGCCAGUUAGGGUAAAGGGUAAAGUGCUUCCUAAUCCUCCUUCCUCCCUCCAUCUUUUUGAACUGUUGCUCAUGUUAUGUCACAGGGUGGCUGUACACACUUGGAGGACAGUGCUAACUGCCCUGUAAACCACACAGACACCCAAGAUUGGUUAGUGUUGCUCUGAUUGACAGGGGAUAGAGUAUGCCAUCCCGCCCACACAGACAGCACGGCCAAUUUUGCUGUCUUGGAUUCCCAGCCAUGGAUGCGGCACCAGUGAUCUCCUGACAAUAGGUUGAAUGGGUUUCUGUUGCACCACUUGGAAACAGAUCUAAUUUUAUAGUUUUAGUCAUCCAGAGAUUGAGAGAUCUGGAUUUGAAUUGACGAGCUAAGCUUCCUCUACCACUUCUCCUAGCCGUCCCCCCCACCACUGAAAGGUUUCUCCUCCUGUUCUGUCGGCUUAGCGGCUGCAGCGUGUGGUAUCUUAAUGGAUGGUUCAGAGGCCACUGGCGAGGUUGGUAAUACAUAAAUCAAUUUGUAAAGACAUUUCUUCUUGGGUGCUCAAGGGAGCUCAAGGUUUUUUGUUUUUUUUGCUUGACUCAGCAUAGCUCCUGCAUUUAACUCAAUGGUGGGGACCGUAGCUCCUGCUUCGUAGGUGGUAUCAGCAAUGCACCUAUCAUAGUCCUGAAGGAACCUGUUGUUUGUCAAAUGGUGCCUGUUAGAUGCCGUCAGGUAUACUUGUGUGUUCAGGGUGAAGGAUCAGGACAGGUCCAGGGGUGUAAAGGUUCCUCUUGUGUUUCUCUCCACCUGAUUUAUGUGAGUUUAGAAUUCCUGCCCCACCAAGGAAACCACCAAAAAUAAAAAAAAAAAAACAACAACACUCAAAUGCUCCCUCAAGCAGGCAUUAUAUAUAUAUA
ensembl:lncRNA